rnacentral:rRNA from 1 species
ACCCGCACAAGCGGUGGAUGAUGUGGUUUAAUUCGAUGCAACGCGAAAACCUUACCCACCUUUGACAUGGCAGGAAUCCUGAAGAGAUUUGGGAGUGCUCGAAAGAGAACCUGCACACAGGUGCUGCAUGGCUGUCGUCAGCUCGUGUCGUGAGAUGUUGGGUUAAGUCCCGCAACGAGCGCAACCCUUGCCAUUAGUUGCUACGAAAGGGCACUCUAAUGGGACUGCCGGUGACAAACCGGAGGAAGGUGGGGAUGACGUCAAGUCCUCAUGGCCCUUAUAGGUGGGGCUACACACGUCAUACAAUGGCCGGUACAGAGGGUAGCCAACCCGCGAGGGGGAGCCAAUCCCACAAAGCCGGUCGUAGUCCGGAUCGCAGUCUGCAACUCGACUGCGUGAAGUCGGAAUCGCUAGUAAUCGCGGAUCAGCAUGUCGCGGUGAAUACGUUCCCGGGUCUU